rnacentral:rRNA from 1 species
UUGACAUCCAGCGAGCUUCCAGAGAUGGAUUGGUGGCCUUCGGGAACGCUGAGACAGGUGCUGCACGGCUGUCGUCAGCUCGUGUUGUGAAAUGUUGGGUUAAGUCCCGCAACGAGCGCAACCCUUAUCCUUUGUUGCCAGCGAUUCGGUCGGGAACUCAAAGGAGACUGCCGGUGAUAAACCGGAGGAAGGUGGGGAUGACGUCAAGUCAUCAUGGCCCUUACGAGUAGGGCUACACACGUGCUACAAUGGCGCAUACAAAGAGAAGCGACCUCGCGAGAGCAAGCGGACCUCAUAAAGUGCGUCGUAGUCCGGAUCGGAGUCUGCAACUCGACUCCGUGAAGUCGGAAUCGCUAGUAAUCGUGGAUCAGAAUGCCACGGUGAAUACGUUCCCGGGCCUUGUACACACCGCCCGUCACACCAUGGGAGUGGGUUGCAAAAGAAGUAGGUAGCUUAACCUUCGGGAGGGCGCUUACCACUUUGUGAUUCAUGACUGGGGUGAAGUCGUAACAAGGUAGGCGUAGCGAG